rnacentral:rRNA from 1 species
GACGAACCGUGCGAACGUUGUUCGGAAUCACUGGGCUUAAAGGGCGCGUAGGCGGUCUGCCAAGUCCGGGGUGAAAGCCCCCAGCUCAACUGGGGAAGUGCCUUGGAUACUGGUGGACUUGAGGGAGGCAGGGGUUGUGGGAACUUCCGGUGGAGCGGUGAAAUGCGUUGAUAUCGGAAGGAACGCCGGUGGCGAAAGCGCACAACUGGUCCUCUUCUGACGCUGAGGCGCGAAAGCCAGGGGAGCAAACGGG